rnacentral:lncRNA from 1 species
UUAAAGGCAUUUGCUAGUACCAUAUUGUGAUGAAGUCUUAGAACUUAUUGUUACUAGGCAUUUAACAAAGUUUUUUUUCCUUUUUUUCCCUCGUUCCAAAGUACUCCCUCUGUUUCAAAAUGUAGGUCGUUUUAGCUUUUCUAGAUACAUAGAUUUUGCUAUGUAUAAUGUAUCUAGACAUAACCCUACAUUUAUGUGCAUAGCAAUAUCUAUGUAUCAAGAAAAGCCAAAACGACCUACAUUUUGGAACAGAGGGAGUAACUUCAUAAGAUAUUAGGUAGCUAAGGCUAUGAAGAUAACAACAAAUUUCAACAAAUUGAAGGUUUAAGUUCCUUCAGUGCAAUCGAAUAGAAUUUGUGUGGGAAUACGUGACGACUGAUGCGUGGAAACUUAUGAGCAUGUAUCAGAUAACUUGACAGACACAGAUAUUCCUCGGAUGAUCAUUGGACAAGUAUUGAGCAUGUUCAGAUCAGAUUGACAUAUAUCAUGCUAUAUAGACAUUGCAAUAAAAAAAAAGGCGACGUUAGAUUUCUUGCCUU